UCUCUUGCUAUUGAUGAAGGUUUGAUAUAUUCUGAAAUUAGUUCAAAUUCAUUAAUGUCAUGACCCAUUGAAUGAAGAAUAUCAUUAAUAUAAUUUAAUACUUUAUAACGUAUUUCUCUUACAUUUAUGUUCAAACUUUUUUUGAAAUCUUCAGACAUUGGGCUUUCAAAUCUUUCCCAUAAUUCUCUAGGAUUUUUUGGAUUACAAUAAAUCAAUAACAUAGCAAAUGAUUGUCUUAAACUGGAUGGCAUUUGAUAACUUGCAGCUUCAGCCAUGCAUUCUACCAAAUUAUUAUCACAAAGUAAUAGUUCUCUUUUUUCUGCAGCUUCUCUAAAUGAAUUAUAAUGUACUCAAUUCACAGUUCGCAGAUCUUCAUAUGAUUUUGGCCCUCUUACGUUCAUUAA
rnacentral:lncRNA from 1 species